AUUGAACGCUGGCGGCAGGCCUAACACAUGCAAGUCGAGCGAGCGGCGGACGGAUGAGUAAUGUCUGGGAAACUGCCUGAUGGAGGGGGAUAACUACUGGAAACGGUAGCUAAUACAGCAUACCAUCAGAUGUGCCCAGAUGGGAUUAGCGAGUAGGUGGGGUAACGGCUCACCUAGGCGACGAUCCCUAGCUGGUAUGAGAGGAUGACCAGCCACACUGGAACUGAGACACGGCCCAGACGCCUACGGUAGGCAGCAGUGGGGAAUAUUGCACAAUGGGCGAAAGCCUGAUGCAGCCACGCCGCGUGUGUGAAGAAGGCCUUCGGGUUGUAAAGCACUGUCAGCGGGGAGGCGUUACCUGCCGAAGAAGCACCGGCUAACUCCGUGCCAGCAGCCGCGGUAAUAC
rnacentral:rRNA from 1 species